UCUGGCGGCUUUAGCGCGGUGGUCCCACCUGACCCCAUGCCGAACUCAGAAGUGAAACGCCGUAGCGCCGGGGGGACUUGAACCCCCACGUCCGUAAGAA
rnacentral:rRNA from 1 species